rnacentral:lncRNA from 1 species
UUUCCCUUAUCCAGGGGAUCUUCCCCACCCAGGGAUCCAACCCAGGUCUGCUGCAUUGCAGGCGAUUCUUUACCAGCUGAGCCACAGGGAAGCCCAAUUAAUAAGGGCACUUUUAAAAGAGAGACAGACAGGAAAAAAAAAAAGAUUCAAAGCAAAAAAUUAAAACCCCAAACCCCUCUACUGCCUUACCAAAAUUAUCCCUGAGAAACAAUUACAUCGGCUGCUCUAUUCCUACUGUGGAGUAAGGGCCCCGAAGACAACUGUGGAGGAGGGAGCUGCCUGGAUUUUGCCCACAUUCUGAGUCUCUAGCCUCAGUUAAGAAAGAAAAAAACCUGUAGCAAUUAACCGUAGGAUACUGCAUGUGUCCUUUCGGUUUCAUUACUCAGAAACCUCACCCAUAACACAUGGCUGUAAAAACCUGCUCGCCUUUCAACUUUUAAGGAGCAGAGCAGGUUUCCGGAGGAACCAGACUCAAGGGGAGCCCCAGGGAAGAGCCAAAGCAGCUGGGAAUUUGAUACCCCGGUGCUCCAAAGCUAAAAGAAGAAUUAGAAGAAAGCUGCAUGAAUAAAGAUGGGAUCCUUCAUGAUACAGAAAAGACCUCAGCAGAGCAGUACGAAAGAGAAGCAGCUAAGAGGGAAAAGGAUUCUCUUGAGCAAAAGAUUAAAGAGCUGCUACAAAUGUUAGAGAACCAAGAAAGAGCCUUCAAGAUAUUUAGAGUCAAAAUCACCAGCAAGAUGAGAGAAAGAGACAAGCUUCUGAGAAGGAUGAACAAGAGGAUUGAGAGGCUGGAGAUCUUAAGAAAGAUAAGGGAAGAACAAGAGGAAUACUACAUGAAGAAAGAGGAGCAGAUCAAAAGAGAGGCAAGUGAGAGGGAAAAAGACCCUUCUGAGCGAAAGGUUAAAGAGCUGCAGCGACAGUUGGAGAACCAAAAGAGAGUUUUGGAGAGAUUAACAGCCAGAGUGAGAAAGGAGAUAAGAGAAAGAGAGAAGACCUCAGCAGAAGAGUGGGCCAGAGGAGAGGCAACUGAGAGGGCAAAGGAACCUCUUGAACAAAAGGCUAAAGAAUUACAGUCAAAGAUGGAGGGCGACAGAAGUGCCAUCUUGAAGGAAGUUAGACUCAAAACGACAAAGAUGAGAGAAAGAGAAAACCUUCUAAGAAGGAUGAACGAGAGGUUUGAGAUGUUGGAGAUCUUGGGGAUGAUAAAGGACGAGCUAGGGGAAUGCUGCAAGAAGACAGAUGAGCUUUGUAAUGCAGCCAAGACCUUGGCAGAAUGCACUAAAGGAGAGCCAUCUGAGAGGGAAAAGGAGCUUCUUGAGCAAAAGUAUAAGGAGAUAAGUCAAAAGGUGGAGGACCAAAAAAAAGACUUCGAAGAAUGUGUAGGCAAAAUGAUAGAGAAAACAAGAGAAAGACAAAAGAUUUCAGCAGAAGAGUAUGCCAAGAGAGUGGCAGCUGAGAGGGAAAAGGAACUUCUUGAGCAAAAGGUUAAAGAGCUGCAAGAACAGCUGGAAGACCAAGAAAGGGUCUCUGAGGAAUUAGGAGUCAAAAAGACAGAGAAGCAAAGAGAAAGAGAAAAGACAUCAGCAGAAAUGCUGGCCCAAUGGGAGGAUGCUAUGUGGGAAAAGAAGCAAAUGGUUAAAGAAUUGCAGCAAAAGUUGGAGGACCGAGAAAAAACGUUCGAGAGAUUUAGAGACAAACUCACAAAGGAAAUGAGAGAAAGAGACGACCUUCUGAGAAAGAUGAAUGAGAGGAUUCAGAUGCUGGAACGCUUACUGAGGUUACUAGAAACACUAGAGGAACAGGACAUGAAGAAAGAAGAGCAGGCCAAAAGAGAGGCAGCUGAAAGGGAAAACGAGCCUCUUGAACAAAAGGUUAAAGAACUGCAGCAAAAAUCGGAGAACCAAGAAAAAGUCUUCGAAGUAUUAAGAGACAAAAUGACAGAGGAGUUGAAUGAAAGAGAGAAAGCCUCAGCAGAAGAGCAGAUCAGAAGAGAGGCUGUUGAGAGGGAAAAUGAGUCUCUUGAAAAACAGGUUAAAGAAUUGCAGCAAAAUUUGGAGGACCAAGGAAGAGUCUUCCAGAGAUUAAGAACUGAAAUGACAGAGGAGAUGAGAGAAAGUGAAAACGUCUCAGCAGAAGAGCAGAUCAGACGAGAGGCCACUGAGAGGGAAAAGGAGUCUCUUGAAAAACAGGUUAAAGAAUUGCAGCAAAAUUUGGAGGACCAAGGAAGAGUCUUCCAGAAAUUAAGAACUGAAAUGACAGAGGAGAUGAGAGAAAAUGAAAAGGCCUCAGCAGAAGAGCAGGCCAAAAGAGAGGCUGCUGAGAGGGAAAAGCUUUUAGAGCAAAAGCUUAAAGAAUUGCAACAAAAGUUUGAGGACCAAGAAAGAGCCUUCAAGGUAUUUAGAGUCCAAAUGACAGAAAAGGUGAGAGAAAGAGACAAUUUUCUGAGAAAGAUGAAUGAGAGGAUUGAGAUGCUGGAGGCUGCAGUGAACAAUGAUAAUGACAAGGAUAAUGAGGAAAACACUGAAAAGUACUGAACUUCAUAGACACAGGAAGAUAAUGACAAAGAAAAUACUUCACAGCCUUUUGUUUUAAUCUCAGUUUGGGAGAAUAUAAAACAUGUGUGGUCACUAAUUACUCAGAUUUUUUGUUUGUUUCUUUUAAAUUCUGGUAAUAUUAAAAGUUUUCACAAGUGCUUUUUUGAUCUGGAUUAUUUCUAUCUAUGUAUGUACUUUUUCUUUUAUCAUUAAAGUUUUAAUGUAAAAAAUAGAAAAAUCAUCUACUAUAGAACAUCAAUUCCUGGCCCACAAAGGAAAGAAUUAGUGUGGCUGGAUAAUUAAUUUAAGUGGAAAUGGAAGCAACUGAGUAGAAGACAAAGAGGUCAAAUUUGUAAUAUCUUGAAAAAAAGAAAAAUUUUAUUAAGUAAUGCUUCUGAAAGUCACAUAUGAAUAAUUAUACAAAUGAAUAUGUAUACUGGUUUCUUGAGAGGAAAGGACUAAUUUCUUAUACAAAACAACUGUGUUACUUCACUUGUAAAUUUUAUGUGUUUUGAGUUAAAAUUUCACAAAAGCUGAUUGUAAAUUUUAAAUUGAGCUGAUCAAACACAUUAAAAAGCCAUGAAAAUUCAGAAGGGGUACAGGGUUUGGGAAGUUUUCAGCCAUAAUUUCUUCUAUAAAUGAAGUUUAUAGAACUGCAGUCAUUAGAACAAUGUGCCAUCAAGGCAUAAAUCUGAAGACAAAGAAUAACAGCAUGCUGCAUAGUCUAAAAAUAGAACCAACAACAUACCUGAUUAAGGUUGUGUGAAUAGUGUUGUUUCAGAUCAGUGAGACAAUAUAAACAGUACAUGAAGUGCUGUCAGUCUACUGGACAGCCAUAUAGAAUGAGAGUGCCUAGAUCGCUUAUAAAUCUUGCACAAAUAAUAUUCCAGCUUGACUUUAGAUUUAAACAUUAAAAAUAAUCUUGAUAAAAACAGUAAAUGUCAGAUAAUUAUAAAAUAAAUGUGGAAACUUGAAUUUAUUUUUAAGUGAC